UGAACAUUGAGCCUUGAUGUGUAGGAUAGGUGGGAGGCUUUGAAGCGUGGACGCCAGUCUGCGUGGAGCCGACCUUGAAAUACCACCCUUUAAUGUUUGAUGUUCUAACGUGGACCCGUAAUCCGGGUUGCGGACAGUGUCUGGUGGGUAGUUUGACUGGGGCGGUCUCCUCCUAAAGAGUAACGGAGGAGCACGAAGGUUGGCUAAUCCUGGUCGGACAUCAGGAGGUUAGUGCAAUGGCAUAAGCCAGCUUGACUGCGAGCGUGACGGCGCGAGCAGGUGCGAAAGCAGGUCAUAGUGAUCCGGUGGUUCUGAAUGGAAGGGCCAUCGCUCAACGGAUAAAAGGUACUCCGGGGAUAACAGGCUGAUACCGCCCAAGAGUUCAUAUCGACGGCGGUGUUUGGCACCUCGAUGUCGGCUCAUCACAUCCUGGGGCUGAAGUAGGUCCCAAGGGUAUGGCUGUUCGCCAUUUAAAGUGGUACGCGAGCUGGGUUUAGAACGUCGUGAGACAGUUCGGUCCCUAUCUGCCGUGGGCGCUGGAGAACUGAGGGGGGCUGCUCCUAGUACGAGAGGACCGGAGUGGACGCAUCACUGGUGUUCGGGUUGUCAUGCCAAUGGCACUGCCCGGUAGCUAAAUGCGGAAGAGAUAAGUGCUGAAAGCAUCUAAGCACGAAACUUGCCCCGA
rnacentral:rRNA from 1 species